GAUGAACGCUGGCGGCGUGCCUAAUACAUGCAAGUCGAACGACCAGACGGGAAGUUUGUUCCCUUGACGUUUGCGGCGCGCGUGAGAGUCACGCAUGGAUCCCCUCCCUCUAAGACUGGGAAAACUUCGGAACACCAGAUCCAAUACCAUAUCAUACGAUGUACCGUUAGAUUCAUUUGAAAAUCGCAAUUUUCCCGCUACUAGUAGGUGGUGCGAGGCUGAAUUGUUUAGUUGGUAAGGUAACGCCUAACCAAGGCAACGAAGCGUAGCCGACCUGAGAGGGUGAUCGGCCACACUGGAACUGAGACACGGUCCAGACUCCUACGGGAGGCAGCAGUGGGGAAUCUUGGGCAAUGGGCGAAAGCCUGACGGAGCAACGCCGCGUGGGUGAUGAAGGUCUUCGGAUCGUAAAACUCUGUUAUUGGGAAAGAACAGAUGUGGAAGGAACUAUGCACGUCUUGACGGUACCUAAUCAGAAAGCCACGGCUAACUACGUG
rnacentral:rRNA from 1 species